CACGUUUGACAUGUCUAGUUUGGUCGUCAGAGAUGACUUCCUUCAGUUCGGCUGGCUAGAACACAGGUGCUGCAUGGCUGUCGUCAGCUCGUGUCGUGAGAUGUUGGGUUAAGUCCCGCAACGAGCGCAACCCUCGCUACUAGUUGCUACCAGGUUAAGCUGAGCACUCUAGUGGAACUGCCGGUGGCAAGCCGGAGGAAGGUGGGGAUGACGUCAAGU
rnacentral:rRNA from 1 species